rnacentral:rRNA from 1 species
UACGUAGGGUGCGAGCGUUGUCCGGAAUUAUUGGGCGUAAAGAGCUCGUAGGCGGUGCGUCACGUCGGCCGUGAAAACCUGCAGCUUAACUGUGGGCGUGCGGUCGAUACGGGCAUCACUGGAGUUCGGCAGGGGAGACUGGAAUUCCUGGUGUAGCGGUGAAAUGCGCAGAUAUCAGGAAGAACACCAAUGGCGAAAGCAGCUCUCUGGGACGGUACUGACGCUGAGACGCGAAAGCGUGGGGAGCGAACAGG